GUGUACCUAAUAUGCGAGUGUUUGGGUGUUAAACCCAUACGCGUAAUGAAAGUGAACGGAGGUGAGAACCCUUAAGGGUGCAUCAUCGACCGAUCCUGAUGUCUUCGGAUGGAUUUGAGUAAGAGCAUAUUGGGUGCGACCCGAAAGAUGGUGAUCUAUACGUGAAUAGGGUGAAGCCAGAGGAAACUCUGGUGGAGGCUCGCAGCGGUUCUGACGUGCAAAUCGAUCGUCAAAUUUGCGUAUAGGGGCGAAAGACUAAUCG
rnacentral:rRNA from 1 species